rnacentral:piRNA from 1 species
UGACAUUGCAGGUGGUACACCGCCACACC